GAAGCUUAAUUUCAAAACAAUCGGACUCUUUUUCACAAAUUCUCCGUGAAUAUGGUAUACAAAGAAAGAAGAAAUCGUAACACAAACGAGAACUGAGGACUUAGGGUAUCAUCAAAAGCAAAUGUAAAAAAGAUUCUCAUAGGACUUUCGGCUAUGGUGAUUGAUCACAUUUGGCUUCUCCUUCUGAUCGUCCACCGUUCCACCAGAACCGUCGUCGGAAUCAAUGCAACAAUCAAUUGUCGAUUGUGGGUUCGGGC
rnacentral:lncRNA from 1 species